rnacentral:rRNA from 1 species
GGACUACCGGGGUAUCUAAUCCUGUUUGCUCCCCACGCUUUCGCACCUCAGCGUCAGUAUUGGCCCAGGUCGCCGCCUUCGCCACUGGUGUUCCUCCCGAUAUCUACGAAUUUCACCUCUACACCGGGAAUUCCGCGACCCUCUUCCAUACUCAAGCGCGCCAGUUUCGUAUGCACUUCCUGGGUUGAGCCCAGGGCUUUCACAUCCGACUUAACGCGCCGCCUACGUGCGCUUUACGCCCAAUGAUUCCGAGCAACGUUUGCACCCUCUGUAUUACCGCGGCUGCUGGCAC